rnacentral:misc_RNA from 1 species
AACAUCGCGCACCUGCGGGAACCUGCGGAAGGAUCAUUACCGAGUUUACAACUCCCAAACCCCUGUGAACAUACCUAUACGUUGCCUCGGCGGAUCAGCCCGCGCCCUGUAAAAAGGGACGGCCCGCCCGAGGACCCUAAACUCUGUUUUUAGUGGAACUUCUGAGUAAAACAAACAAAUAAAUCAAAACUUUUAGCAACGGAUCU